rnacentral:rRNA from 1 species
UACGUAGGGUGCAAGCGUUAAUCGGAAUUACUGGGCGUAAAGCGUGCGCAGGCGGUUGUGCAAGACAGAUGUGAAAUCCCCGGGCUCAACCUGGGAACUGCAUUUGUGACUGCACGGCUGGAGUGCGGCAGAGGGGGAUGGGAAUUCCGCGUGUAGCAGUGAAAUGCGUAGAUAUGCGGAGGAACACCGAUGGCGAAGGCAAUCCCCUGGGCCUGCACUGGACGCUCAUGCACGAAAGCGUGGGGAGCAAACAGGA